GUUUUCUUUUUGGCUGCCAGAGGCCCCGCAUCCACCGCUGAGCUGGGAGAAAGAUGGCGGCAGCCGUGCGACAGGAUUUGGCCCAGCUCAUGAAUUCGAGCGGCUCUCAUAAAGAUCUGGCUGGCAAGUAUCGUCAGAUCCUGGAAAAAGCCAUUCAGUUAUCUGGAGCAGAACAACUAGAAGCUUUGAAAGCUUUUGUGGAAGCAAUGGUAAAUGAGAAUGUCAGUCUCGUGAUCUCGCGGCAGUUGCUGACUGAUUUUUGCACACAUCUUCCUAACUUGCCUGAUAGCACAGCCAAAGAAAUCUAUCACUUCACCUUGGAAAAGAUCCAGCCUAGAGUCAUUUCAUUUGAGGAGCAGGUAAAAGUCUAGAGCAGUGGUUUUUUAACUUGAGAUAGCAGCAGUUAUUUUGAAAUCUGAUAUUAUUAAAUUCUUAAAAGAGAUAAUCAUCCAAUUUCAUUUUUGACAAAACAGUGUGCCAAACAGCAUUUUACGAUGCAAAAUCAAGUAAAUAUUAGGUUGUUACAACUCCAACUGACAUUUGCUUAUAAAGUAAA
rnacentral:sRNA from 1 species